AUGGACUCGGCCAGGGCGGCGCAGGCGGCCACGCGGCGCAAGAAGAUGACCAAGCAGCUCACCGGGAAGCGGGACGACACGGCGCUGCACGGGGCGGCGCGCGCCGGGCUGCUCGUCGCCGUGCAGGAGACGCUGUCCGGCGCGUCGCCAGAGGAGCUGCGCGCGCUGCUGUCCAAGCAGAACACGGCCGGGGAGACGCCGCUGUUCGUCGCCGCCGAGUACGGCUACGUGGCCCUGGUGAACGAGAUGGUCAAGUACCACGACGUCGCCACCGCCGGCAUCAAGGCCCGCAGCGGCUACGACGCCCUCCACAUUGCCGCCAAGCAAGGGGAUGUAGAGGUGGUGAAGGAACUGCUGCAGGCGCUGCCGGAGCUGGCCAUGACGGUGGACGCGUCGAACACGACGGCUCUCAACACCGCGGCGACGCAGGGGCACAUGGAGGUGGUGCGGCUGCUGCUGGAGGUGGACGGGACCCUGGCGCUGAUCGCGCGGAGCAACGGCAAGACGGCGCUGCACUCGGCGGCGAGGAACGGCCACGUGCAGGUGGUGCGCGCGCUGCUGGAGGCGGAGCCCAGCAUCGCGCUCCGGGUGGACAAGAAGGGGCAGACGGCGCUGCACAUGGCCGCCAAGGGCACCAACCUCGACCUCGUAGACGCGCUCCUCGCCGCCGACCCUUCGCUGCUCAACCUCCCGGACAACAAGGGCAACACCGCGCUGCACAUCGCCUCCCGCAAGGCGCGGCACCAGAUCAUUAAGCGUCUGCUCGAGCUGCCGGACACGAACCUCAAGGCGAUCAACCGGGCCGCCGAGACGCCGCUGGACACGGCGGAGAAGAUGGGCAACGGCGAGGUGGCCGGCGUGCUGACGGAGCACGGCGUGCAGUCGGCCCGCGCCCUGAGCCCCACGAGCGGCGGCAACCCGGCGCGCGAGCUGAAGCAGCAGGUGAGCGACAUCAAGCACGAGGUGCACUCGCAGCUGGAGCAGACGCGGCAGACGCGCGUGCGGAUGCAGGGAAUCCAGAAGCGCAUCAACAAGCUCCACGAGGAAGGGCUGAAUAACGCCAUCAACUCCACCACGGUGGUGGCCGUGCUGAUCGCCACGGUGGCGUUCGCGGCCAUCUUCACGGUGCCCGGCGAGUACGUGGACGCGGACAACCUGGGGCCGGGGCAGGAGCUGGGCGAGGCCAACAUCGCCCAUCAGACCCCCUUCAUCAUCUUCUUCGUGUUCGACUCGGUGGCGCUCUUCAUCUCGCUGGCGGUGGUGGUGGUGCAGACGUCGGUGGUGGUGAUCGAGCGGAAGGCCAAGAAGCAGAUGAUGGCGGUGAUCAACAAGCUCAUGUGGGUGGCGUGCGUGCUCAUCAGCGUCGCCUUCCUGGCGCUGUCGUUCGUCGUCGUAGGGCGCACGGAGCAGUGGCUGGCCGUCGCGGUCACCAUCAUGGGCGCCACCAUCCUGGUCACCACCAUCGGCACCAUGCUCUACUGGGUCAUCGCGCACCGGCUCGAGGCCAAGCGCAUGCGCAACAUCAAGCGCUCGUCGAUGAGCCGCUCGCGCUCACACUCGGGGUCUGGACUGUCCGAGCACGAGUGGGUCGACGAGGAGUUCAAGAAGAUGUACGCCAUCUGA
rnacentral:rRNA from 1 species